CGGGCUCAAACGACACAGGAAUACUUUUGAAAGGAGGUAGCCCUACGGGGCCUGUGUCGAGGUGCUGCAUGGUUGUCGUCAGCUCGUGCCGUGAGGUGUCGGCUUAAGUGCCAUAACGAGCGCAACCCCUACCGACAGUUGCUAACUGGUCAAGCAGAGGACUCUGUCGGGACUGCCGGCGCAAGCUGUGAGGAAGGCGGGGAUGACGUCAAAUCAGCACGGCCCUUACGUCCGGGGCGACACACGUGUUACAAUGGCAGGUACAGCGGGAAGCCAUGUGGCGACACAGAGCAGAACCCGAAAACCUGUCUCAGUUCGGAUCGGAGUCUGCAACUCGACUCCGUGAAGCUGGAUUCGCUAGUAAUCGCGCAUCAGCCACGGCGCGGUGAAUACGUUCCCGGGCC
rnacentral:rRNA from 1 species